rnacentral:misc_RNA from 1 species
AACGCACCUUGCGCUCCUUGGUAUUCCGAGGAGCAUGCCUGUUUGAGUGUCAUGGAAUUCUCAACUCUCUUACCUUUGUUGGUAAGCAGAGCUUGGAUUUGGAGGUUUCUGCUGGCUCUUCAUUGAAUCAGCUCCUCUUGAAUGCAUUAGCUUGAACCUUUGUGGAAUGGCUUAUCGGUGUGAUAAUUGUCUACGCCGUUGGCUGUGAAGCUCAUACACUUCGGUGUGAGGAUCAGCUUCUAAUGGUCCUUCAAUGGACAAUCUUUGACCUCUGGCCUCAAAUCAGGUAGGAUUACCCGCUGAACUUAA